rnacentral:rRNA from 1 species
CCUGAUAGUAUAUGUGAUCCCAGGAAUUAACGGGCCACCCACACAGGAGACCGAUAUAGGGCGUCCAGUAACAGGAUUUGGCGGGGGAACACAGAGCUGGGCGCGACAGGGGCACGCCGCCGCAGUAUUACCUGCUGCUGAAGUGAUGACCGAUUUUAUUGGGCCUAAAGCGUCCGUUUCCGGCUAAUAAGGUCAUCUUUAAAUCCGCCAGCUCACCUGGUGGGCGUCCGGGGAAAACCACGCGGUUCGGGACCGGAAGGCUCCAGGGGUACUUCCGGGGUAGGAGUGAAAUCCUGUAAUCUUGGACGGACCACCGAGGGCCAAAGCCCCUCGAGAAGACGGAUCCUACGGUGAGGGACGAAAGCUAGGGUCUCGAACCGGAUUAAAUACCCGGGUAGUCUUAGCUGUAAACGAUGCUUGUUAGGUGUGGCACAGGCUACAAGCCUGUGUUGUGCCGUAGGGAACCCAAAAAGCGAGCCGCCUGGGAAGUACCUCCCCAAGGAUGAAACUUAAAGGAUUUGGCGGGGAACCCACACC